rnacentral:rRNA from 1 species
GGGUGUGAUCAUACUAGCACCAAUGCAUCGUAUCCCAUCAGAUCUCUGCAGUUAAGCGUGCUUGGGCAAUAGUUAUGCUGGGAUGGGUGACCUCCUGGGAAGUCCUCGUGUUGCACCCC